rnacentral:sRNA from 1 species
GCAGGGCAUGGGGGCGCAUGCCUGUAAUCCCAGCAGCUCAGGAGGCUGAGGUGGGAGGAUCGCAAGUUCAAAGCCAGCCUCAGCAAUGGCAAGGUGCUAAGCAACUCAGUGAGACCCUGUCUCUA